GGGUGCGAGAACACACAGUCAACUCGCACCAUCCUCCCAGUGGAUUUUCAAUAAUCGAGUGAUUUUGAGUGGGCUGUGUUGCAAACCCCAACAAAAUGAACAUGUUCUGUGUUAUUCGGACUCACUAUCAAAUUGCUCAAUACCACAAGGCUAUUUGCCUAGACAAGCAGGUCAACAAUGUGGCAUCAUAUCAUUGUCCUGGGACCAACAUUUCUUUGGAAUAUUGACGGUUGCACCCAAUCGUCUGGCCGCAAGAUUGGCAAUCUGUCCAAUCGAGCCAUCCUCUACUCUACAACUAUCAAAAUUUCCAUCACUAUUCCUCUUCAAUAGCGUUUAUCUUACUUAUUCCUGAAAAUUGAGCUGAAUGUUGUCAAUGUCAUCUGUAUUUUCACCUGGUUAUCAAUAUACAUAUCAAUUAAACCCUG